rnacentral:lncRNA from 1 species
UUUCCUUCAUCCACGACAUUCCUCCUGGAAUUGGAAUGAAAAAGGAGGCUUGUGUUAUGUAAAGGUGCUCCCAAAGACUUUCCUUCACACAAAACAUUUCCCAUAGAUUUAUAUUGAAGAAUGGAGGCUUCUAUCAUGUGAGGGCACUUCCGAAGACUUCCCUUCACGCACGACAUUCCCCAUAAAAUUCGAAUAAAGAAGGGAGGCUUAUGUUAUGCAAUAGUACUUCCGAAGACUUCCCUUCACACGUGAAAUUC